rnacentral:rRNA from 1 species
CUACGGGGGGCUGCAGUGAGGAAUAUUGCGCAAUGGGGGAAACCCUGACGCAGCGACGCCGCGUGGAUGAUGAAGGCCUUCGGGUCGUAAAAUCCUGUCAGAAGGAAAGAAGUGUAUGGUAGCUAAUAUCUGCCAUACUUGACGGUACCUUCAAAGGAAGCACCGGCUAACUCCGUGCCAGCAGCCGCGGUAAUACGGAGGGUGCAAGCGUUGUUCGGAAUUACUGGGCGUAAAGCGCGCGUAGGCGGUUUUAUAAGUCAGAUGUGAAAGUCCACGGCUCAACCAUGGAAGUGCAUUUGGAACUGUAAGACGUGAGUAUUGGAGGGGGUAGUGGAAUUCCCGGUGUAGAGGUGAAAUUCGUAGAUAUCGGGAGGAAUACCGGUGGCGAAGGCGACUAUCUGGCCAAAUACUGACGCUGAGGUGCGAAAGCGUGGGGAGCAAACAGGAUUAGAUACCCCCGUAGUC